UCUACGGGUGGCAGCAGUGAGGAAUAUUGGUCAAUGGGCUUACGCCUGAACCAGCCAAGUCGCGUGAGGGAAGACUGCCCUAUGGGUUGUAAACCUCUGUUGUCAGGGAGCAACGCCGGCUACGUGUAGCCGGACUGAGAGUACCUGAAGAAAAAGCAUCGGCUAACUACGUGCCAGCAGCCUCGGUAAUACGGAGGAUGCGAGCGUUAUCCGGAUGUAGUGGGUUUAAAGGGUGCGUAGGCGGAAUGCCAAGUGAGCGGUAAAAUCGUGGGGUACAACCUCGCUCCGCUGUUGAAACUGGCGUUCUUGAGUGGGCGAGAAGUAUGCGGAAUGCGUGGUGGAGCGGUGAACUGCAUAGAUAUCACGCAGAA
rnacentral:rRNA from 1 species